CACCCCUCAAGCUCUGCUUGGUAUUGGGCGGCGUCCUCUCCGGACGCGCCUCAAAGACCUCGGCGGUGGCGUCUUGCCUCAAGCGUAGUAGAAAACACCUCGCUUUGGAGGACGGGACGACCGCUCGCCGGACGAACCUUUGAAUUCAUUUUCCUA
rnacentral:misc_RNA from 1 species